CCCCUUGAACACUGAGCAGAAGGCUGGGGCUGAAGGAGGCAGUGUAGAGGGAAAGGCAGGCUGGAGGAGAGGCAGGGAGAGGGAGAGCCGGGCACGGGGUAGGGUGCUCUGAGGCCGGGGGGUUAGGGGAAUGACGGGGCCUGGGGGAGGCUGGGGGGGUGAGGGGGGAAGUGUGAAGGUGGGAUGGCAGGGUGGCACAUGCAGGGAAACCCAGCUAAGGUGGGAGAAAGGUGCAGAGGGUGGAGGCUGAGAAGAGGCCACGAUGAAGAUACUAUAGCUGGAGGAGGGAUGAAGAAGGCCAGGUAGGAAAGAUAAGGUGAUAGCAAAGAAAAACUGGGAACUGGGAGAAAGAGUCAGCUGAGACUAGGGUGCCAAGGGGUUGAAAAGGAUAGAAAUAUAUUACUUUUCCCGCUUAGAAAUGGUGGUUAGGUGUAGGAAAAGACAGUAUUUAAACUGAGGAUGAUGUCUAAAAGUUAGGUUAAGGCAUAGAAACUAGACUAAACAGGGGCCAAAGAGGGAAAAAGAUAGGUAGCAAGACAACCACAGAGCAAAACAGAAAAAGCUCAAAGAAAAGCAUUUUUCUAGCAGUAGGAGUCUGUUGGAGGGUCCGUUUUCCUUUUCCUGCCAUGGAUGUAAUGCUGGUUUGGACAGCAGCGGGUGACGUCCAAUCAGACAACAGGACUGCAGGCCUUGUCAUAAUGACAACCAUGACAUCACUGCAAGGGCUAGCGGAGAGAAGACAGCGGAGCUCCAGACAGACAGCGGGGCACCGCGGGGCUGCACGCCGGCCAAAGCGCGCCGGCUGCGGUAUCGAAACCGCGCGGACUACCGAGAGGAGGGGAAGAAUAUGCGGAGGCUGCUGCCGGUUGGACUCUUUCACGGCCGGCGCAUGGAGCUCUGCCUACCCCCGGACAGGCUCGAGGCAGCUUCACCGGGGGGCGAAGCGGGAGGAAGAUGUGGAGGAGGUUGAGAGAAACAGCAUCUUGUUUUAUUUCAACACGAGAGGAAGACAACUCCCAAACUGGCAUGACGUAACAGAAGAGUGAAGAUGCAACCAAGAGACCAGGACACUGCAUGAACCGGAUGGCAAAUGGGGACCGAGGGGAAAUGAAAGCAGCUUUGCCAAAGCUUAACCCAAAGGCCCUUUGUUAGAGGGUAGUAGGAAGUAUAUGAGGUUCACAUUUGAUAACAGGUGGAGACCUGGUGAUCUGGAGCCAAAUUGUUGGAGAGAAGAGAGGAACUCAGGACAGGAAAACUGUGAUAAUUCCGAGGGCAGGCGGCUGCUGUAAUCUCCACUGUUCAAUUAGCGGCACUGACCAGGACACCACCUACACUUCAUUAACAGGGUGUGGGGAAGCAGACAUCCUGGAGGUGUGUGGUUUUCAUAUUAUAGCAGUCUGACUACGGCAGAGAGUGAGAGACAGUAAGACAGAGGUGCUGCUGAUGGUGUAACACCAAAACCAACAGGAGUACAGGAGAUGGAGAAGAUGCUGACAUUUCACACACACGCGCGCACACACACACGGCAGUAAACCAAAGCUUGCUGUCAGUGGUGUGAGUCAUUUCCAGGUGAAGCAAACUGAAUUAAACUGAAUCAAGCUGAACUGAUCUGAACUGGAAUUACCUGAACUGAACUGAAAAGAAGAAGGUUUCAGCCGGACAGGACACACACCUCUCUGAGGUUUUGGGAACAGUUUUGGCAGAGGGUAGAGGAAUGUCUUCAAAUAAUACAGAUGAAAACCAAACAUUUAUACAUGUUGUUUCUGGGGGGUUUCCUUGCUUGACUUAUCAUAUGUGGUAUUUAUUUACAUUUAUAUACUGUUCUGUAAUGUGAAUUAAACAUUUCAACUGCAGAUUUUGACACUGUACAAUAUCAAUCUCUUGUGUAUAUUUUCUUAAUUAAUCAAAAAUACAAUAAAACUUUGUGCCAAUGUCCAUCUAGCUUAUUUUUACAAUUACUAAUUUGGCAGAUGAAGCAACUCUGGAUUCAGUAUCUUGGCCAAGGACACUUCGACAUGCAGACAGGAGGAGCCAGGGACCAAACCGCCAAACCCUGCGAUCAGUGGAGAACAACGAGCACCCAUCCAUUAAAGACUUAUCCUUCAGUUGAGAGCCAGUGUUUUCACUCUCUCACAUUGUCCGUUGUGGCUUCAAAACAGUGACCAAAGGUCAGAUGUCUCACUCACUACACUACAGAGCCAGAUUUCUUACAUGUAACUUUAUAUAUGCCAUAUACCUCAAUGAAGGGUCAUAAUGGAGUAAAGAACAUUAUAAAAAUAAAAGUCUAAAGCCACUGUAACUAUAGUUUCUUUUACCCACAGCCAGAAGAAUUGCUUCAGUUUCUAGAUAUUUAUUAUAGAGAUUUGGGGAAGUCACAUAUCUCACUUUGUCUUUUAAAUGAAGCUUUUUAAAAUCAGUUUUAAUUUUGUCACAAAUUUCACACGUUUAAAGAUGCAUCCUGAACAGAGUAUCAGGACUGUUCCAGAAUUGCAUGAGAAACUAGCACAACACUGCUUUUUGGUGAAACACACACAUCUUCAACUUUGCUGAUUUUUACAUAUUCAGUGAAGUUGAAGGUUUACAAGCAAAAAACUUCUCUUUUAUACCACUCUUGUUUCAAAAUCCUUCCCAAACUUAUUAGAUUAUCUAAAAACUGCAUUAAAAUACAGCUACACAAAGCUUGGUUAUUACUGUGGUAUUAAUAUUUGAGCAUAUUUGGAGUAUUUGUAUUCCUAAUAUGCACAAAUAUUUAAAUAUCAGUCAAAUUAGUUUAAACAAACAGGUAAGUUUGUACCCAGUGGAUUUUCUCACAUGCUGCCCAUGUGUCUUUGUGAAAAGCUGUUUUGAACUUAUUUCAUACACAUUCAAUAAAGAUGAAACUAUUCAGUCAAAGCUU